rnacentral:lncRNA from 10 species
GUCAUUUCUCAUUCUCCAGUGUUUCAGUUGAGCGUGGGACUUUCCACUUGCCCUCCCUUUGGGCUAUAAAGUCGCUGAGCUGUAGUUAGAAUUGACUCCUUAGCAGCGGAGCAGCCCACGGCCUGCCUGUACUGCCUGUUACAUGGGCCCUCUGGUUUGAUGUCAUCAGUGGAAAUAGAAGCAGGGAACUGACAUUCUGAUUUGGCAUUUGCUGAGGAAGAACGUGCAAAACGUGAGGAGCUAGAGCGAAUACUGGAAGAGAAUAACCGAAAAAUUGCAGAAGCACAAGCCAAACUG